rnacentral:rRNA from 1 species
CGCUAGCUACAGGCUUAACACAUGCAAGUCGAGGGGCAGCAUUUUAGUUUGCUUGCAAACUGAAGAUGGCGACCGGCGCACGGGUGAGUAACACGUAUCCAACCUGCCGAUAACUCCGGAAUAGCCUUUCGAAAGAAAGAUUAAUACCGGAUAGUAUACGAAUAUCGCAUGGUAUUUUUAUUAAAGAAUUUCGGUUAUCGAUGGGGAUGCGUUCCAUUAGUUUGUUGGCGGGGUAACGGCCCACCAAGACUACGAUGGAUAGGGGUUCUGAGAGGAAGGUCCCCCACAUUGGAACUGAGACACGGUCCAAACUCCUACGGGAGGCAGCAGUGAGGAAUAUUGGUCAAUGGGCGAGAGCCUGAACCAGCCAAGUAGCGUGAAGGAUGAAGGCUCUAUGGGUCGUAAACUUCUUUUAUAUGGGAAUAAAGUUUUCCACGUGUGGAAUUUUGUAUGUACCAUAUGAAUAAGGAUCGGCUAACUCCGUGCCAGCAGCCGCGGUAAUACGGAGGAUCCGAGCGUUAUCCGGAUUUAUUGGGUUUAAAGGGAGCGUAGGUGGAUUGUUAAGUCAGUUGUGAAAGUUUGCGGCUCAACCGUAAAAUUGCAGUUGAAACUGGCAGUCUUGAGUACAGUAGAGGUGGGCGGAAUUCGUGGUGUAGCGGUGAAAUGCUUAGAUAUCACGAAGAACUCCGAUUGCGAAGGCAGCUCACUAGACUGUCACUGACACUGAUGCUCGAAAGUGUGGGUAUCAAACAGGAUUAGAUACCCUGGUAGUCCACACAGUAAACGAUGAAUACUCGCUGUUUGCGAUAUACAGUAAGCGGCCAAGCGAAAGCAUUAAGUAUUCCACCUGGGGAGUACGCCGGCAACGGUGAAACUCAAAGGAAUUGACGGGGGCCCGCACAAGCGGAGGAACAUGUGGUUUAAUUCGAUGAUACGCGAGGAACCUUACCCGGGCUUAAAUUGCAACAGAAUAUAUUGGAAACAGUAUAGCCGUAAGGCUGUUGUGAAGGUGCUGCAUGGUUGUCGUCAGCUCGUGCCGUGAGGUGUCGGCUUAAGUGCCAUAACGAGCGCAACCCUUAUCUUUAGUUACUAACAGGUGAUGCUGAGGACUCUAGAGAGACUGCCGUCGUAAGAUGUGAGGAAGGUGGGGAUGACGUCAAAUCAGCACGGCCCUUACGUCCGGGGCUACACACGUGUUACAAUGGGGGGUACAGAAGGCGGCUACCUGGUGACAGGAUGCUAAUCCCAAAAACCUCUCUCAGUUCGGAUCGAAGUCUGCAACCCGACUUCGUGAAGCUGGAUUCGCUAGUAAUCGCGCAUCAGCCAUGGCGCGGUGAAUACGUUCCCGGGCCUUGUACACACCGCCCGUCAAGCCAUGAAAGCCGGGGGUACCUGAAGUACGUAACCGCAAGGAGCGUCCUAGGGUAAAACUGGUAAUUGGGGC